rnacentral:rRNA from 1 species
GAUGAACGCUAGCGGCAGGCCUAACACAUGCAAGUCGAACGAGACCUUCGGGUCUAGUGGCGCACGGGUGCGUAACACGUGGGAAUUUGCCUCGGGGUAUGGAAUAACUCAGGGAAACUUGAGCUAAUACCAUAUAAUGUCUUCGGACCAAAGAUUUAUCGCCCUGAGAUAAGCCCGCGUAGGAUUAGCUAGUUGGUGGGUAAAGGCUCACCAAGGCGACGAUCCAUAGCUGGUCUGAGAGGAUGAUCAGCCACACUGGGACUGAGACACGGCCCAGACUCCUACGGGAGGCAGCAGUGGGGAAUAUUGGACAAAUGGGCGAAAGCCUGAUCCAGCAAUGCCGCGUGAGUGAUGAAGGCCUUAGGGUUGUAAGCUCUUUACCCGUAGAUGAUAAUGACAGUAUCGGGAGAAUAAGACUCCGGCUAACUCCGUGCCAGCAGCCGCGGUAAAGUGAC